GACGAACGCUGGCGGCGUGCUUAACACAUGCAAGUCGAGCGGUAAGGCCUUUCGGGGUACACGAGCGGCGAACGGGUGAGUAACACGUGGGUGAUCUGCCCUGCACUCUGGGAUAAGCUUGGGAAACUGGGUCUAAUACCGGAUAUGACCRCAKSMYGCAUGKKKUGUGGUGGAAAGAUUUAUCGGUGCAGGAUGGGCCCGCGGCCUAUCAGCUUGUUGGUGGGGUAAUGGCCUACCAAGGCGACGACGGGUAGCCGACCUGAGAGGGUGACCGGCCACACUGGGACUGAGACACGGCCCAGACUCCUACGGGAGGCAGCAGUGGGGAAUAUUGCACAAUGGGCGGAAGCCUGAUGCAGCGACGCCGCGUGAGGGAUGAAGGCCUUCGGGUUGUAAACCUCUUUCAGCAGGGACGAA
rnacentral:rRNA from 1 species